rnacentral:rRNA from 1 species
AUUGAACGCUGGCGGCAGGCCUAACACAUGCAAGUCGAGCGGAUGAAGGGAGCUUGCUCCUGGAUUCAGCGGCGGACGGGUGAGUAAUGCCUAGGAAUCUGCCUCGUAGUGGGGGAUAACGUCCGGAAACGGGCGCUAAUACUGCAUACGUCCUGAGGGAGAUAGUGGGGGAUCUUCGGACCUCACGCUAUCAGAUGAGCCUAGGUCGGUUUAGCUAGCUGGUGGGGUAAAGGCCUACCAAGGCGACGAUCCGUAACUGGUCUGAGAGGAUGAUCACUCACACUGGAACUGAGAUGCGGUCCAGGGUACUGAGGUAGGGCGCAGUGGGGAAUGUUGGACAAUGGGGGAGAGCCUUAUCCAGUCAUGCCGCGUGUGUGAAGAAGGUCUUGGGAUUGGAAAGCAGUUUAAGGGGGUGGGAAGGGCAGUAAGUUAAUACCUUGCGGUUUUGACGGUAACAACAGAAGAAGCACCGGCUAACUUCGUG